rnacentral:rRNA from 1 species
GAUGAACGCUGGCGGCGUGCCUAAUACAUGCAAGUCGAGCGAACAGACGAGGAGCUUGCUCCUCUGACGUUAGCGGCGGACGGGUGAGUAACACGUGGAUAACCUACCUAUAAGACUGGGAUAACUUCGGGAAACCGGAGCUAAUACCGGAUAAUAUAUUGAACCGCAUGGUUCAAUAGUGAAAGACGGUUUUGCUGUCACUUAUAGAUGGAUCCGCGCCGCAUUAGCUAGUUGGUAAGGUAACGGCUUACCAAGGCAACGAUGCGUAGCCGACCUGAGAGGGUGAUCGGCCACACUGGAACGUAGACACGGUCCAGAGUCCUACGGGAGGCAGCAGUAGGGAAUCUGCCGCAAUGGGCGAAAGCCUGACGGAGCAACGCCGCGUGAGUGAUGAAGGUCUUCGGAUCGUAAAACUCUGUUAUUAGGGAAGAACAAAUGUGUAAGUAACUAUGCACGUCUUGACGGUACCUAAUCAGAAAGCCACGGCUAACUACGUG